GACGAACGCUGGCGGCACGCCUAAAACAUGCAAGUCGAACGAGAAGCUCGGAGCUUGCUCCGGGCGGAGAGUGGCGAACGGGUGAGGAACACGUGAGGAACCUGCCCCGAAGACCGGGACAACACCGGGAAACCGGUGCUAAUACCGGAUGUCCUCACCGGACCGCAUGAUCCGGUGAGGAAAUGGAUUCCGCUUCGGGAUGGUCUCGCGCACUAUCAGCUUGUUGGUGGGGUAAUGGCUCACCAAGGCUACGACGGUUAGCUGGUCUGAGAGGAUGUCCAGCCACACUGGGACUGAGACACGGCCCAGACUCCUACGGGUGGCAG
rnacentral:rRNA from 1 species